UGGUUCUAACAGUUUUUCGUUGUAAUAAGUUAUUCGGUGUACGAAGAGGUUAGGUAUAUGUGUACCUACGUGGAGUAUAAUUGUGUAAUAUGACAAAUUAAAUUUCGAAUGGCUCUAUACUAAUUGAUCAUAAAUGAAGAAAUUAAACUUACAACGAAAAAGUUGAAUAUACUUGAUUGUUCACUUGGAUUCAAAGUAGACUUACAGUUCAUUGACGAAAAUAUAACAUUUACGAUGUGGACGGGCAUUGUUUUAUCAUCAAUAUUUGAACUAGUUCCUGAGUUGAAAAAUAAGAACAUAAUAUUCAUCACAAAGCUACGUAUAUUUUCUACACUUAUAAUAAUGUUUAUAUAUAUAUGUAUUUGUAACAAAUUCAAAUCAUGCUUUUCGACACACGUAAUACAGACACAUAUUUUUUCAUAACACCUAACUACGUUGUUAUAUGACCAGUGAAAUAUUUAGCCAUCUCUUGAAAAAAAUGUUUUGCAUACUUGAUAUUAUUGUAAUUAAUCGUUUUCAUACUUUAUAAAUAAUGAACGAUAUUAGUAUACUUAUGAACUGCUAUUACUUUGUAAUAAAUGUAAUACUACGCGUAUAAAUUAAAAUGUUCUUCUAAAGUCAAAUGGCAUACCUAUGAGUUAAAAGUAUACAACCAUAAUUUAUAAUAAUAUAAUUUUUUUUUGUAAUAUUAAGAGAAAUUUAAGAAAACAUUUACAACCAAAACGUGAGUUUUUUAUGUCUUGCCAACGUAUAAUACUAUAUCAGAUUUAAGUUCAGAAAAAACAAUUUUGUGUUAUUAUAGCUUUUAUUACAGUUAGGUACUUGACUUGAAAAUAGGUAUAAGUACAUUGGCUUGACGGCUUAUACAAACAUUUAAUUUAUAAGCAAGUAUCUAAUCAGCAUGUUCAAUUGCUUAUCAUUAAUGUUUAAUCUUUAUAAUUUUUGUUUAAGUUAAGCACUGCCUACAUGCACACGUCCCUGCAAGCUGCAGAUACCCUAAAUAGCUUAUUCACUACACGGCAUCACAUGUAUAUAUGUAUGGAUUUACAACAGAUAGGGUGGUCAAUAUCACAGUUUAAUAUAUAAGUACUAUAAUUGUGUUAUAUAAUUUUUAAGUAUUUGAGUAUGACACUUAUUCAUUUUAAAUAGGUAUUUUUAUCAGGCCUCUUUGAUUUGAUGUCUCAAUAAUUAUAAACUUCUAACGCCCGUUGUAAAACGAACUGCGACGAUAAAAACCUUAUAAAUAUUUGAUAUUACAUUAUGACGUUAUGUACCUAUUUCGUAUGAUAUUUUCUAAUUUUCAUUAACAAUCUUUAUUUUAUUUUUGAAAUUUUCUGUUUAUCUUCAUCCAAUAAACAAUUUUUGCCGGUUUAAUAAUAAUUUAA